rnacentral:rRNA from 1 species
CCUACGGGAGGCUGCAGUGGGGAAUAUUGCACAAUGGGGGAAACCCUGAUGCAGCGACGCCGCGUGAGUGAAGAAGUAAUUCGUUAUGUAAAGCUCUAUCAGCAGGGAAGAAAAUUACGGUACCUGAGUAAUAAGCCCCGGCUCACUACGUGCCAGCAGCCGCGGUCAUACGUAGGGUGCAAGCGUUAUCCGGAUUUACUGGGUGUAAAGGGAGCGUAGACGGCAUUGCAAGUCUGGAGUGAAAGGCGGGGGCUCAACCCCCGGACUGCUCUGGAAACUGUACGGCUGGAGUGCAGGAGAGGUAAGUGGAAUUCCUAGUGUAGCGGUGAAAUGCGUAGAUAUUAGGAGGAACACCAGUGGCGAAGGCGGCUUACUGGACUGUAACUGACGUUGAGGCUCGAAAGCGUGGGGAGCAAACAGGAUUAGAUACCCCAGUAGUC